rnacentral:rRNA from 1 species
UGGGGAAUAUUGGGCAAUGGGGGCAACCCUGACCCAGCCAUGCCGCGUGAGUGAUGAAGGCCCUCGGGUCGUAAAGCUCUGUGGGGAGAGACGAAGAAGGUAAACCUAAUACGUUUAUCGGUGACGGUAUCUCCUUAGCAAGCACCGGCUAACUCCGUGCCAGCAGCCGCGGUAAUACGGAGGGUGCAAACGUUGCUCGGAAUUACUGGGCGUAAAGCGAGCGUAGGCGGCGACGUAAGUCGGGUGUGAAAGCCCUCGGCUCAACCGAGGAAGUGCAUUCGAAACUGCGUUGCUAGAGUACCGGAGGGGAUGACGGAAUUCCCGGUGUAGAGGUGAAAUUCGUAGAUAUCGGGAGGAACACCUGUGGCGAAGGCGGUCAUCUGGACGGAUACUGACGCUG